rnacentral:rRNA from 1 species
UAGAGUUUGAUCAUGGCUCAGAUUGAACGCUGGCGGCAGGCUUAACACAUGCAAGUCGAGCGGUAACAGGAAUAGCUUGCUAUUUGCUGACGAGCGGCGGACGGGUGAGUAAUGCUUGGGAAUAUGCCUUAUGUGGGGGACAACAGUUGGAAACGACUGCUAAUACCGCGUAAUGUCUACGGACCAAAGGGGGGGAUCUUCGGACCUCUCGCCAUUUGAUUAGCCCAAGUGAGAUUAGCUAGUUGGUAAGGUAAUGGCUUACCAAGGCGACGAUCUCUAGCUGGUUUGAGAGGAUGAUCAGCCACACUGGGACUGAGACACGGCCCAGACUCCUACGGGAGGCAGCAGUGGGGAAUAUUGCACAAUGGGGGGAACCCUGAUGCAGCCAUGCCGCGUGUGUGAAGAAGGCCUUCGGGUUGUAAAGCACUUUCAGUUGUGAGGAAAGGUGUGUAGUUAAUAGCUGCAUACUGUGACGUUAACAACAGAAGAAGCACCGGCUAACUUCGUGCCAGCAGCCGCGGUAAUACGAGGGGUGCAAGCGUUAAUCGGAAUUACUGGGCGUAAAGCGUUCGUAGGCGGUUGAAUAAGCAAGAUGUGAAAGCCCAGGGCUCAACCUUGGAACUGCAUUUUGAACUGUUCGACUAGAGUACUGUAGAGGGGGGUAGAAUUUCA